AAUGAACGCUGGCGGCGCGUUUUAAGCAUGCAAGUCGAACGGUAUGCAUGGUCCUUUGCACUGUGCUGAGAGUGGCGAACUGGUGAGUAACACGUAGGUGAUCUACCUUGGGGUGGGGGAUAGCCUGUGGAAACAUGGGGUAAUACCGGAUGAACCCCCGGGCCUGCGGGUGAAGGGGGAAAGGUGCUAUUGCACCGCCUGGGGAUGAGCCUGCGUUCCAUUAGUUGGUUGGUGGGGUAAAGGCCUACCAAGGCGAUGAUGGGUAGCCGGCCUGAGAGGGUGAUCGGCCACACUGGGACUGAGACACGGCCCAGACUCCUACGGGAGGCAGCAGCUAAGAAUCUUCCGCAAUGGACGAAAGUCUGACGGAGCGACGCCGCGUGGACGAUGAAGGCCGAAAGGUUGUAAAGUUCUUUUCUUGGAGAAGAAUAAUGUGAGGAGGGAAUGGCUCCCUGAUGAACUUUAUCUGUGGAAUAACCCCCGGCCAUUUCCUGGCCACCACCGCGGGAACCCCUAAUGGGCCAACGUUGUUUCGAAUUAUUGGGCGUAAAGGGCGUGUCAGGUGUUUUGGAAGCCUGGUGUGAAAAUGCUCUGGUUAACUGUGUAUGUACGCUGGGAAACUGCAAAAAUACAAUCUCUAGAGGGGGAGCUAGGAUUUCUGGUGUAGGGGUGAAAUUCUGUAGAUAAUCAUGAAGAAUCUCGGUUGGACGACGCCGACGCUUCUUGUCCAUGACUGACCCUGAGGCGCGAAAGCGUGG
rnacentral:rRNA from 1 species